rnacentral:rRNA from 1 species
GAUGAACGCUGGCGGCGUGCUUAACACAUGCAAGUCGAGCGAGUAGUGGAGACGGACACCUUCGGGCGGCAGACUUCAUUUGGAGUGGCGGACGGGUGAUUACCGCGUGGGUAACCUGCCUCAUACAGGGGGAUAACAGUUGGAAACGACUGUUAAUACCGCAUAAGACCACAGCACCGACUGGUGCGGGUCUAAAAACUCCGGUGGUAUGAGAUGGACCCGCGUUCGAUUAGCCAGUUGGCGGGGUAACGGCCAACCAAAGCGACGAUCGAUAGCCUAUCUGAGAGGAUGGCCGGCCACAUUGGGACUGAGACACGGCCCAAACUCCUACGGGAGGCAGCAGUGGGGAAUAUUGCACAAUGGGGGAAACCCUGAUGCAGCGACGCCGCGUGAGUGAAGAAGUAUUUCGGUAUGUAAAGCUCUAUCAGCAGGGAAGAAAAUGACGGUACCUGAGUAAGAAGCCCCGGCUAACUACGUG